AUGUUGAAUAUCAGUUUAAGUAUUUUUGAAAAGUAUUUGAUGAAAUUGAUCUCGAUAUCGAUCUUAGCAUAGCAUUUUAAAUAAUAAUAAAUAAUAUCCUAAAGGGGGAUCCUUAAUCAAUUCAUCUUCCCGACGAAAUCUUGGAAAUUAACGAUGCAAACGGCGUUGUGUUAAUUCCACGGAAUAGGAACUCUGACAUUCUAAAAAAAAAUCGUGUUUGAUGACGGUUGUUACCAUGACACGUCCUUUCUCGCGAUCGUGAAUAACAAGGAACCAACCACUUCUACGUAUAAAAUUAACGAUCCGUCUCAUCGAUUAAGCCACCGUGAACGCUUCCUCGAAAUUGUUAACCAUUCUACGCGAGUCUCUGAAAACGACAACGUCCAGCAUUCUCUCAAAAUUAAUUCAGACUGUGAACGAGAAACAAACGAUCCCAAAACUACUAUCCCUACAACUAACUCUAAAUCGUCCAAAUAAGGCAAAAAAAAAAGGUAAAAUUUGAGUAAAAUUACAUUACAAAAAAAGGAAACUAAAACUGAAAAAAAGUUAAAUCGUCAUAGGUUGAAGAAGAAGCACUGUGCCGUUUCCUCGUCCACUAGGUAAAAAGGACGAAUUUUCCACGGAGGGGGCCUGGUCUCGUUCUAAGUGGUCGUCGUUUGAUGACGGUUAUUACCAUGAUGCGCUGUUUCCUGCGACCAUUUCGCUUUGACGAGUGUGCAUCCACGGACGACAGUAGAUUCUCCGCCCCACAGGAAGUCGCCAAUACGUUUCUGUUAAACGAAUCUUUGUCGUGAGGAACGAAUUACACAUCUCGAUUGCGUUUAUAGAAUAUCUUUGGACGAAUAUUCUUUCCAUAAAUAUUGAAAUAAACGAGAAGAACAAUUUAAUUUCCCUCCAGAGACCAUUACAAUUUAACGUUGAAAGGGUGAAAAAACUCGAUGAAAGAAGGAAAUCCUUUUAAAUAAGGUAAACAGAUAUAAUAGCAAUAAUGAUAAUAAUAAAU